GACGAACGCUGGCGGCGUGCCUAAUACAUGCAAGUAGGACGCAGUUGCGAACGGGUGAGUAACGCGUAGGUAACUACCUAUUAGAGGGGGAUAACUAUUGGAAACGAUAGCUAAUACCGCAUACUAGUAGAUGGACCUGCAUUGUAUUAGCUAGUAGGUAGGGUAGUGGCGUACCUAGGCAACGAUACAGAGCCGACCUGGUGGGGGGAUCGGCCAAACUGGGACUGAGACAGCGCCCAGACUCCUACGGGAGGCAACAGUAGGGAAUCUUCGGCAAUGGGGGGAACACUGACCGAGCAACGACGCGUGAGUGAAGAAGGUUUUCGGAUCGGAAAGCGCUGUUGUUAAGGGAGCGGUACUUGAACAGAAAGGGACGGCUAACUACGUGCCAGCAGCCGCGGUAAUUC
rnacentral:rRNA from 1 species